rnacentral:rRNA from 1 species
GACAGAGGUGCCAAGCGUUAGGCGGAAUCACUGGGCUUAAAGCGUGUGUAGGCGGAUUUGUAAGUACCUUGUGAAAUCCCACGGCUCAACCGUGGAACUGCUCGGUAUACUGCUUAUCUUGAGCCACUUAGGGGCUACCGGAACAAAUGGUGGAGCGGUGAAAUGCGUAGAUAUCAUUUGGAACGCCAAUGGUGAAAACAGGUAGCUGGGGAGUGUGCUGACGCUGAGACACGAAAGCCAGGGGAGCGAACGGG